CACCGAGGUGCAAGGGCUGUCGCUGACCUUUGAAGGUCGUGCACGCCCGAGCGCUCUCGCCACAAUCCAUCUCACCCCUUUGUGCAUCACCGCGUGGGUCCCCCUUUGCGGGGAGGGCUCGCGUUUUCACACAAAACUUGAUACAGUCUAGAAUGUUUAUUUUUGCGGUAACACGCAAUCAAUACAACUUUCAACAACGGAUCUCUUGGCUCUCGCAUCGAUGAAGAACGCAGCGAAAUGCGAUACGUAAUGUGAAUUGCAGAAUUCAGUGAAUCAUCGAAUCUUUGAACGCACCUUGCGCCCCUUGGCAUUCCGAGGGGCACACCCGUUUGAGUGUCGUGAAAUUCUCAAAAUCCUUUUCUUUGAUCGGAAUAGGACUUUUGGACUUGGAGGUUCAAUGCUCGCUUUCGCCUUUGAAAGCGAGCUCCUCUCAAAUGAAUCAGUGGGGUCCGCUUUGCUGGUCCUUGACGUGAUAAGAUGCUUCUACGUUUUAGAUUUGGCAUUGUUUUCUCCGCUCCUAACUGUCCCCAUGGGACAACGAUGGUGCUUCGGUCGUCGCCAUCUA
rnacentral:rRNA from 1 species